AGUUUCCUGCUCGGUGCGUGACGGGCUUUAUUUAAACCCACAUCUCUUAAACGGGAUGUCGCCCUCACGCCGUGGAUCGCAGGCCUCCCGGCCCCCUUCGGGGAAGUUGGAAGUUGGAAGCGAGGAAGCGGCGUGGAGACAACCCACCCUGCCAUUACGUGCAGGUUUUAAAUGGGUCCGCACGGCCAGAGCGGGGUCCCC
rnacentral:other from 1 species